UUUUAUUUACAGGAAAAACUGUUUUUAUUUCAAAUCUGCACAACGCAGGAAAAUUAAUUGAAGCUUUCAACUAAUAUUAUAUUUUUGAAAUACUUAGUUUCUCAAUUUAAUUUUAGACUGGAACCUAUAAGUUCUGACUUUUUGAGUAAGUUCUGAUACAUUUAAAUUAGUUGUAUUACUAUGAAUAUAAAUUUUAAUUUUCAAAGUUUUCAUGUUUUUAAGAUCUUAAAGUUAAUUUUAUAAUUUGUAUGUUAUAAUUUUACGAUUUCAAAUAGUUGUAAUUCCAUAUUUUUUUACACCAACAAUGUUAUAAUCAUUAUGAAGAUACAGCAAGUGUUCUGUGUUUAGAACGAGUUUUUACACCUCGAAAACGUUUAUAGAUUUCGAGUAAAGUGGGCCUAAAUACCUUGGUGCCGUGUGGUGACGGCAGAUUAGAAUACAGUUGUCACAACCCCACCUCUUCCCGCGGGUGUCGUACGAGGCGACUAAGGGAAUAUAGCGGAGGACGGGCAGCAGCGUCCUCUGUGCUUCUACUCUACCAUCUACUGCGAUCUUAUUGAAGUUUUAGGUCCAUUUUAUGUAUGACUUUAUUGUCCUAUACUGAUAACUAUUAGUUUUUAAACGAUGUUGAUACCUAGUUUCUACCAGUAGUUAUUUAACUAAGCUUGAAGUUCACAUCGGUAACAUUUCUAUUUGACCUUUGCUACCAUAAAAAGGUUUUCUGCGGCUUAGAAAACCGUAUUUGUAUCGAAUUGAACUC